GGGCUCGCAGGCGGUUUCUUAAGUCUGAUGUGAAAGCCCCCGGCUCAACCGGGGAGGGUCAUUGGAAACUGGGAAACUUGAGUGCAGAAGAGGAGAGUGGAAUUCCACGUGUAGCGGUGAAAUGCGUAGAGAUGUGGAGGAACACCAGUGGCGAAGGCGACUCUCUGGUCUGUAACUGACGCUGAGGAGCGAAAGCGUGGGGAGCGAACAGGAUUAGAUACCCUGGUAGUCCACGCCGUAAACGAUGAGUGCUAAGUGUUAGGGGGUUUCCGCCCCUUAGUGCUGCAGCUAACGCAUUAAGCACUCCGCCUGGGGAGUACGGUCGCAAGACUGAAACUCAAAGGAAUUGACGGGGGCCCGCACAAGCGGUGGAGCAUGUGGUUUAAUUCGAAGCAACGCGAAGAACCUUACCAGGUCUUGACAUCCUCUGACAACCCUAGAGAUAGGGCUUUCCCUUCGGGGACAGAGUGACAGGUGGUGCAUGGUUGUCGUCAGCUCGUGUCGUGAGAUGUUGGGUUAAGUCCCGCAACGAGCGCAACCCUUGAUCUUAGUUGCCAGCAUUUAGUUGGGCACUCUAAGGUGACUGCCGGUGAC
rnacentral:rRNA from 1 species